CCUGGGCAACAUGCCAAGACCCUGUCUUUGCCAAAAAAAAAAAGUACAAAAAUGAGCUGGGCAUGGUGGUGCAUGCCUGUUGUCCCAGCUACUUGGGAGGCUGAGGUGGGAGAAUUGCUUGAGCCCAGGAGGUUGAGGCUGCAGUAAGCCAUGAUCAUGCUAGUACACCCCAGCCUGGGCAACAGAGUCAGACCCUGUCUGAAAAAAAAAUUAAUAAAAAUAAAAAAAGGCUGCAUGAUAUUUCACUGUAUUGAUAUACCACAUUUACUAAUUCAUCAGAUGAUGCACAUUUGGGUUGCUGCCACCUUUUGGCUAUUGUGAAUUAUGCUACUAUGAAUAUUGGUGUACAAAUAUCUAUAGAGUCCCUGCCUUACUAUGUUUGGUUAUAUACUCAGAAGUGGAAUUGCUCGGUCAUGUGGUAAUUCUCUUAUUUAUUUAUUUACUUACUUACUUGAGACAGUCUCAUUCUGUUGGCCAGGCUGGAGUGCAGUGGUGUGAUCAUGGCUCACUGUUGUCUCAAAUUCCUGGGCUUCACGAGUAGCUGGGACCACAGGCAGACACCAUCAUGCCCAGCUAGUUUGUUUUAAUUUUUGUAGAGACAGGGUCUUGCCAUGUUGCCCAGGCUCUGUUGUUUAAUUUUUUGGGGCAAUUGCCAUACUGUUUUCUACAGUGGCUGCCCCAUUUUACUUUAUUUUUCUUGAAUAAUGUCAGACAAGACUGGGCACGCUCAGGGUGGUUUGGUUUGGCUGUAGACUUUCCUGUUAAUUUCAAACCAAAAUUAUAUGACCAACAUAAGGAAUUCCUGUAAACCCUUUAAUCAGAGUCACUAAUUGCUUACAUUUUGCCCCAUUUGAUUUAUCAUUUUCUCUCUCUCCAGCAACAUCUAUGUGCGAGUGCACGCACACGUGCACACACACACACACACACUGUGGGUGCAUAUUAUUGUUGAACUGUUUGGAGUAAGUCAAAGAUGUGUCCCCUUUAUUACUAAAUAUUUUGGUGUGUUUCCUAAGAAUGUGGACAUUUUCUUGUAUAACCACAGUAGUUACUAAAAUCAGGACAUUUGAUAUUGAUACAAUAGUAAUGCUACUUUAUAAAUUAGAAAAUAAGUUGAAAAAUAAUUGGGAUAGGGUGUAAUCAGGAUAGGCUAUAUGAUUGGGAUAGGCUAUAUAAAAAAUAAUUGGACAGGCUAUAUAAUUUAAUAAUUGGGAUUAGGCUAUAUAGCAGUGUGCAGUAAAUAUGGAACUAGGCAUUAAUUUUUAUAUAUAAUUUUUUUCUUUUAAGGGAGAAGUCUGUUGGAACUUGGAGGAAACAAUGCCAUUAUUGCCUUUGAAGAUGCAGACCUCAGCUUAGUUGUUCCAUCAGCUCUCUUCGCUGCCGUGGGAACAGCUGGCCAGAGGUGUACCACUGUGAGGCGACUGUUUAUACAUGAAAGCAUCCAUGAUGAGGUUGUAAACAGACUUAAAAAGGCCUAUGCACAGAUCCGAGUUGGGAACCCAUGGGACCCUAAUGUUCUCUAUGGGCCACUCCACACCAAGCAGGCAGUGAGCAUGUUUCUUGGAGCAGUGGAAGAAGCAAAGAAAGAAGGUGGCACAGUGGUCUAUGGGGGCAAGGUUAUGGAUCGCCCUGGAAAUUACGUAGAACCGACAAUUGUGACAGGUCUUGGCCACGAUGCGUCCAUUGCACACACAGAGACUUUUGCUCCGAUUCUCUAUGUCUUUAAAUUCAAGAAUGAAGAAGAGGUCUUUGCAUGGAAUAAUGAAGUAAAACAGGGACUUUCAAGUAGCAUCUUUACCAAAGAUCUGGGCAGAAUCUUUCGCUGGCUUGGACCUAAAGGAUCAGACUGUGGCAUUGUAAAUGUCAACAUUCCAACAAGUGGGGCUGAGAUUGGAGGUGCCUUUGGAGGAGAAAAGCACACUGGUGGUGGCAGGGAGUCUGGCAGUGAUGCCUGGAAACAGUACAUGAGAAGGUCUACUUGUACUAUCAACUACAGUAAAGACCUUCCUCUGGCCCAAGGAAUCAAGUUUCAGUAAAGGUGUUUUAGAUGAACAUCCCUUAAUUUGAGGUGUUCCGGCAGCUGUUUUUGGAGAAGACAAAGAAAAUUAAAGUUUUCCCUGAAUAAAUGCAUUAUUAUGACUGUGACAGUGACUAAUCCCCCUAUGACCCCAAAGCCCUGAUUAAAUCAAGAGACUCCUUUUUUAAAAAUCAAAAUAAAAUUGUUACAACAUAGCCAUAGUUACU
rnacentral:sRNA from 1 species